GAGGAAGCGAUACCCGAUCCCGCGUGGGUGGCGACAGCCCACAGGGAACUCGCCUUGUGAAAGCCAUAGAUCCCAGUCUUUUUUGCCUCUUCUCAACAAAGCCAGCAGUUUCUUUUUACUUGACUCUGCUUUAACAGGGCUAUUUAACUCCAUGCUACCUUCAGAUUUCAACUAAUCCACUUUUGACAAUAUAUGUGCUGAGGAAAUCUGUCUCCCAGCACAAAAGAAUUAAUGGUUCCAAGUGUAGGAGACAAGCAAGAGGGUGUUGGGUUCUUUUAAUCAAAAUAUAAAACUCUAAAGCUCUAUAUAAAAGCUUCAAAUGAAUCGGUGACUACAGAUAAUAUUUAAUGUCUUCGGGUCUCAGUGUAAUGGAAAUAUGAUUCAGUUCACCUGAAAGUGAUUUAACAAAUCUUCAGCACCCUCCAGCAGCUGCCAGUUGGUUUUGAUAUCCAAGGCUUGUCAGUGGUUUUAAACUUGGUUAGUUAAAUACAACAACAUCUGUGCAUCAUUCAAGAACCUACAACACUGAGGAAUGAAAAUGAAAUUGAUGCUUCUGUCAUUUUACAACACAGCAUCCAAGAACCUCUGGUGUGGAGACAUGACUGCCUGCAUAACUUCUGCUAUGCCACAGUAUGAUAUCCAAGGACCUUCAGCACUGAGACACAGUAGUGUUACUGUACCUCACUCUAUGUCUGCAGAGCUUCUCAUACGGAAUCUGAUCCAGCUAAAGCUCCCUUUCCCUGCACAUAAUUGUUGCCACAGGAACAGAAGUGUAUGUGUGGAGAACUUCGCAGCUAACUGAAGAUGACAUCUAAGAAUCUAAACUGAGUUUGACACAUUCACUUAUUACUGUGAAUAAUCCUCAUGUUCUCUAUACUAGAAGGUCCUCUCUCCCUCUAGACUAUUCUCCUUUUGGAGAACAAAAGAGUGUUUCAGAAAAAUAAGUGGAUGUGCGAGAGAUGAAAUCUCUUUGGAAGUUAAACUGGGCUUCAUCUAACAUUUGUCUUGUUCUGCCUGUCCACUUCAUAUUGUUAUUUAACUGAACAACUUCCAAAGAGCUUUUAAAGUAGUGCUCCUUCUAGGGUCUUUGUCCAUGUUUGGCCAGAGACAGGAAAAUGUUAAGGUUUGUGCACUUUUUGAUUGUAUCUCUGAAGUAUGGGAACUCAUUUAGAAGGUAUUUUGUAGGGAACAAUCCUGCAUUGGGACUAGACUGAAUUAUGAUAAAAAUGGAAAAGAUCUUGUGUCUAUGCCUCUAUAAUUAACCUUGGCCUUACAUUUCUGGCUUCACAGCUUGCAUAUUUUUUCCUUGAGCUUUUGGGGUAACACAUGGCUAAAGUUGGCCUGGAGAUCUUAGGGUUCAUAUGAGCUUUGAUAAUUUUUCUUAUAUUUGCUUAUGGAUGCUAUUUUUGGCAUUUCUAUCAUGAAAGCUUUCGGUGGAGAAGCCCAGGAAGAAAAUGUAAUUAAAUAAGGUUGACACCUGCCCUGAAAAUUGCUGCAGUUUUCAUUUUUGAACAAGCAUUAACUCUAACAGAAAACAAUAAAAGAGACAGAGGGGAGCUUUUAAAAGUCUUAAAGAGGUUACAGUCAAUCAGAUGAUGAGUAAAGUACUGUAUAUAUGUGUACAAGACUGGGAUUAAUAGGACAGAAUUUUGUGAUACACUUGUUUUGUUUAGAAGCCUUUGUAAAAGACUGCUCUGACUACUGAUUUCCCAUUCGAAGAGGAUCACUAUCUGAUUCCACGAAAAUCUACAAUUCUGGAGCUAUGUGAAGGCGAGAAGGGGCUCAGCAUUUCAAAAAAAGCGUUUCAGCUUUCUUACAAUCUUCCUCUUUUCUUCCCUCAAAUCCCGCUUAAAAACUGCCUUCUACUGGGAAGCCUUUUUUAAAGUGAUCAGUCAAUUCCUAUACCACAGGCUCAUUCGCCAUGUACUGUGUGUGUCCAGACUGUUUUGUUUAUGUCUGUACAAAACUAUAAACUCCUUGGCUCAGGUACUAUCUCUUCUUUGUAAAGCACUAAGCAGAAUGCAUAUGCUCAUGGAAAAAUGAUACUUUUUCAGCUGAGCAGGGACUCUUGUAUCAAAACAAUCCUGCCCCAAAGGGUUUAUGUGCACACAAGGAUGAUGACAUGAUGUAUUCUGCAUGGUGUUGAGCUAGUGUUUGGGGUACCAGUUCCACCUACGUUAGUUUAA